UUUAUUUUUUAUUUUUUACAUCCUAGUCCGUUCCGCUUCUCUAUACAUCCCUCUCUCCCCUGGCCGAUUGAGUGUGGUCUCAGAAAACUUGGCAUGUCUUACACUAAAUAGGAAAUAAAACAGAAAGAUCAUACAUGAUAGCGACGAAUUGGAUGAUUUCAGUUUUUUUUUUUCUUUACUUUUUUACCAGAUUUGCAAAAUACCAUUUUCGUUUCUAGUAAUUUGGUUGAAGAAUUGCACUAACGAAGUGAAAUGAUGAAGCGAGAAUGAUUUUACGGCGACAUUUACGUGUCUGUGUUCCUGCCACAUCCCAUUCGUUCCUUCAAACUAAGCCUUUCAUUUGGGGUACCAAAGGAGACUAGUGUGCCAUAUGUUUUAUCGAUACUGCUUUCUUGAUAUUCUGGUUCACGGUCUUCCAUAGGUACAGAGUCUUUCAGAUAUUUAGAGGAAAACGACCUAGAAAUUUGAUGGAAAGAGUAGAAUUCUAUAAAGUAAUUAUUGACUGUAUAGCGUUAUAAAUAUUGAAUAGAAUUUUUUUAAUGUAAAAGAGAGUAGCAUGAAACAUCAUCAUUUCGUAUUAAGACAGGUGAAAUAUUGGUCAAUGCAUGCCUUCCCUUUCAAACUCUUUUUUCGGUUUGCUUGUUUUUUUAUUGUCAUGAGCUGAUCAGUGUCUUUUCUUUAUCUCCAUAUGUUUUUGACUGCUUGGACCCCAAACUUGUUUUGAUGUGGAACGGGGCGAUUCAUUUUCUGCAGGGUUAAAUUGAACGUACUAUG
rnacentral:misc_RNA from 1 species